rnacentral:rRNA from 1 species
UACAGAGGUCUCAAGCGUUGUUCGGAUUCAUUGGGCGUAAAGGGUGUGUAGGUGGCGCGCUAAGUCGGGUGUGAAAUUUCGGAGCUUAACUCCGAAACUGCAUUCGAUACUGGCGUGCUUGAGGACUGGAGAGGAGACUGGAAUUCAUGGUGUAGCAGUGAAAUGCGUAGAGAUCAUGAGGAAGACCAGUGGCGAAGGCGGGUCUCUGGGCCAUAACUGACGCUGAGAAGCGAAAGCAUGGGGAGCGAACAGG